GCUGCCACAGAAUGAACGCCAGAGGAAGGAAGCAGGAAUGAGCGAAGUGUUGGAAGGAAUCUUUCUAAAGCUAAAUACUCAUGACACACAGUUGGGGACAUGACAGGGUGGGUACUGCACAGACCAAGAUGUCCAUUUCCAGGGUCAAAGCUGACUCACCCACUUCUCUAUCACCCAGCUGCUCAAAGCUGAACGCACCGGAUUCACUCUGGAUGCCCUGCCUGGAUCUGCCCUGUACCUCCGUUCAAGCCACGGCCACCUUCUGCCUUGACAGCAGCAGUCCCUGCCAGCAGGAGCCGAGGGCCGGGCCACACAGCGCCCUUCAGCCUCACCGACACCAGUCACCCAUCCCCUGGACUGCAGCGUCUCAGCAGAGACCCUGAAGAUUCCUUAUGGACAGGCAGCUGUGGUGCAGUCACAAGAUGGAACCUGGCACAAAUCCUCCUGUCAGCCCUGUACUGAAGCAUUCCUAGAGGCAGGUCUCCCAGGCUCUAGCCUGAACACCUGGGCUCAUCCCCAGAAACCCUCCCGGCGGAAGAACUAGCCCACAAGUCAGAAGAAGAACUAGCCCACAAGUCGUCCUCUGGUAUCAACAUGUAUGCUGUGGAACGCACAGGACUCUCCCACCCUGAAGCACUCAAAAAUACAUAUUAAAAUGUAAAAAAUUAAAUGGCAGAGAGGAAGAAUAUAAAGAACGUAUGAACUGUGUGGCCCAUCAUGUGCAGGUGACGUGAUUACUGUGAUGUCAGCAGGGGAAUUAGCAACACUUUCUUGGACUUCUUCAGACUCUUGAUAGGACCAGACAAUAGUUACUAGGCUGACAGGACCGAUGUUGGCAGUAGCCACAUUCAUUCCACUUGUCAAACUGAAACAGGAUGAAAUGAAGUCCAGAGACCACACUGCUUAGAAACCAGGAUUUAUAAACUCUCAAGUUUAUGAAUUGCCGAGUUUUAAUUUCAGG